GUUACUCUCAAAAGUAAAGGGAAGGGGGGGCAUGGCCUGGAGGCGAACCGGAGCGGUCGCAUGUGCUAGCAGCUCCGCUCCGUAAACGGCUUCAAAGGAGCAAUUAAGCCCGAAACUGGCCGCACAAACAUAAAAUGUCGCAACCUAAAGGGAAGAGAAACACGGAGAGAGCAGAGAAAAACAACUUCUUCGUCUCCAGAGCCGGGCAAGCCAGAAGCCUGCCGCCACAAGAGCUGACUCAAGAUGGCGCUGAGGACAUGGCGGACAGCAGGGAACACCCGGAGGAGACUGAACCUGCACUAACACACAGUGCAGGUUCAGUCUCCUAAAAGAAAAUGAACGAUCCGGCACAAAGCCAUUCCUGAACCAGGGGUGACCACCUUCGCAGAGACAGAGUCGGUCUGAAACCAGGGAUGGGUAAAGUACUGGAACUGUAAAGAUAGAAUAUAGGGUAGAUAUAGAAUGCGUGACUGUGAAGGGCAACUACCCCUACGAAAGGAAAAAAAAAAAAGGGGGGGAGAGGGAGGCCUUAGUUAGAAGGCUCGGAUCCCCAACAUAGCCUGACACCACUGGGUAGCUUGAGAGAGGACAAGAACGAUACGCAUCCACUAUCCUGCCCGCAAGCAGACAAGAGACCCAUACCCUACUGACAGGAAGUUCAUUAGAAAUACCCCGCUGGUAAAAUACCCACUAUCCCACUGACUCAGAAAGAAAGAAAAAAAAAAAUAUUUGGGUAGCGACGACAAGCAACAGACCCACAUAGGGCGUUACAGACACUAACCAAGGUUAACAGAAGCCACAGGCAGGGAGGUAUACCAGGCCAAGAAGCCUAGCUUCAUCCCCAAGGCACGUCGAUGCAGUGCCCAG